rnacentral:misc_RNA from 1 species
AAGCACUGAGGGGAGCCUAAGCUCCCCUCUAAGUAAUGCGUGCUUCAUUUUAUUGUUAUUGCGGGCUUGUUGUUCUUGUUCAAUUGCCCGUUCCUGGAAGCGCCGUGCUUCCGGAGACCUCCCAAAGGGGAGUCAAUAGCAAACGGAUUUCUUUGGAUGCUGACAGAGCUUUUUUACCUUGCGGUCUUACCAGUACGGGUGCUGUCUCAGGACAGUU